rnacentral:rRNA from 1 species
UGGGGAAUCUUGGACAAUGGGGGCAACCCUGAUCCAGCCAUGCCGCGUGAGUGAUGAAGGCCUUAGGGUCGUAAAGCUCUUUCGCCUGUGAAGAUAAUGACGGUAGCAGGUAAAGAAACCCCGGCUAACUCCGUGCCAGCAGCCGCGGUAAUACGGAGGGGGUUAGCGUUGUUCGGAAUUACUGGGCGUAAAGCGCACGUAGGCGGACCAGAAAGUUGGGGGUGAAAUCCCGGGGGCUCAACCCCGGAACUGCCUCCAAAACUAUUGGUCUAGAGUUCGAGAGAGGUGAGUGGAAUUCCAAGUGUAGAGGUGAAAUUCGUAGAUAUUUGGAGGAACACCAGUGGCGAAGGCGGCUCACUGGCUCGAUACUGACGCUGAGGUGCGAAAGUGUGGGGAGCAAACAGGAUUAGAUACCCUGGUAGUCCCACACCGUAAAACGAUGAAUGCCCAGUCGUCGGGGUAGCAUGCUAUUCGGUGACACACCUAACGGAUUAAGCAUUCCGGCCUGGGGAGUACGGUCGCAAGAUUAAAA